CAUUAUUUUAUACCAUUUAAUAAUUACAAUUUAAAUUAUACAAUUAUAUGAUCUUACACAUAUGGUGUGUGCUCUAAGUUACGUAGAUGUAGUAAGUAGGUAUUUAGUUAGACUAUUACGUAUAUUACAUGGAAUGAAGUAACAUUUGAAAAAACGCUAUGCGAAACGUAAUACUUUGAGCUUAAUUUAAAUCGGGAGAAUGUUUUUUUUUUUUUUUUUUUUUGCAAUCUAUCUUUUCCCAUCGAAUCGACUUAAGACUAAAUAUAUCAGUUCUGUUAUCGAUCCUUUUCGAUUCGGUGGAAAAAGUCUUUUUUUUUUUUCUUUAUUUUCAUAUAUAUAUAUUUAUAUUAGGUACCUUAACGUGUUUCACGACACGCGGCGACUUCAACAAAAAAAAAAAAUUUUUUUUCAUAACGAAACAAAUAAAAUACAUUAACACUGGACCAAAUCAUUAUAGCAACAGAUUCACUCUCAAUAAUCGUAAUUACAAUAAAUUUAAUAAUCAUGUCAAUCGUCUUAAUAAUUAUUUAAAUAUUUCUCCAUUCGACAUCCCAAAGAAAAGGAAAAUUUUUCUGAAAAAUAAUAAAUAAAUUUUGUUAUUAAUCAAUGAGAGGAUCUAUCGAGUUUGCGCACAAUUGUUUCAUUUUUUUUUUUGUGCGCAAACUCAUUGAGUUCUCAGUGCUGAUAAUUUAUUAUAUAUGGGUGCGUCUUUGGGGGUGCCGUAUGGAUAUUUAUAACUUCGUCGAUUUCUCGCUAGUCAAUAAUUAUUUACAAUUUAUAAUCCUAUAUAUUUAUAGAUUUUUUUUUUUUUUUUUUUUUUUUUUUUUUCAUCAGCAUCGAUCGUAUACUUAGGAUCCCUGUACGCUUCCGAAUUUGCUUUUUCGAAUAUCGCACGACCUCUCGUUUAAAUUCUAAGCACAGAGCGACGGCAUUUCGUAUCACAAGAUAUAUCCAAUUAUUUCACGCAUGCGAGUGUUAUUAUGCCUCUUGAAUUUUUGCAAUCGUUAAUGGUUAAUUAAUUUUUUUUUUUUUCGAAUUUAUCAACCAAUCGAUUACGCACGCGCAAGAACUUCCGAGACAACCAUCCACUACAAUAAACCUUGGAUUUAACGAUAAAUACUUUUUUUUUACAAUAAACUUUUACAUAGACACCGAGAAAAAAUUUACAUUAAAUUUUAAUUUAAAAAAAAAAAACAAUAAAUUAAUAAACAUGGGUAAUUUGUGAUUUAAAAAAAAAAAUAUAUAUAUAUAAAAUAUUUAACUAAUAAAGAAUUUUUUUUUGAAAUCAAUUUUUUAAUAAUUAAUUUUUUGUUGUUAAAAAUUAAAUUUGGAUAUUUUAAUUCCAAAAAGAAAAAUUUUAUCCAAGUUUCAAUAUCGCGGAUGCAGGUCUCGUGUACUUAUAUUUAACUACCUACAGACUGGUAUAGGAACAAACGCAACUGCUCCUCAGAGACCUGUUGGGUACAUUAUGGUGCAAACUAUUUAUUUACAAAAAAAAAAAAAACUUGUUGGGCUUCAUAGUGCCCACUAUUUUGUCACAAAAAAAAAAAAAAAAAAAAAAAAAACUUGGAAAUAUUGGCGAAUACAUCGAGUUCUUUAUCACGAUACGGAAACCCAUUAACUCUGAAAACGAUAAAAAAAUUAUUUACAAAUCUGCAACUCUUAAUUAUUCAAAUUAUUUAUUUCUAUAUUAUUAUUUUUCUCACCAUUUCGAGGACUUUUAUGAAAUAAAAUUUUUAUUUUACGGAAAAAAAAAAAUUAUUUGUAAUAGCGAAAGAUUUUAUUAAAAUAGUGAAUACCAGUUUUAUUUAAAACAAUUAAAACUUUUUCAUUUAUUUUUUGAUAAUUUAAAAAAUUUAUUUAAUAGCUGCAGAUUAGUUUUCUAUUCAUCGAAUCACUCUUAAUGUCGAAAACACUCAAAAAAUUCACUAAUUAUAUAUAUAUAUAUUUAUAUACUUAUAUAACACAUAGACAUAAAUUGCAUUUAUAAAAUAUACAAUUUUUAAACAACAUUUUUUUUUUUUUUUUGACAACACUUUGUGAUUUUUUUUUUCCUUAACGACAGAUUUAAAAGAAAAAAAAAAAGUCUUUGGGCAUUUCGCGUAUCGCGCUAAAUUAAUUGCCAACUCUCUCCCCCCCCCCCAAAUAACAUUCGAUUUUGGCCAAGAACACUUUGAGCAUUAGCAGGCAUCUUAAAUUCUAAAAGGGCGAUAUUACACACGACGUAUUUUUUUUUUGUUUUUUUUUCGUUAGAAACUAGGUUUCUAUUUCAAUAUUGCAUUGCAUCGAGUUUCAUUCAUUUUUCUUUUAAUAUUUAAAUAUAUAUAAUAUAUAUAAAUCUUUUUCGAUAUAUCUAGCCGAUAAGAUUUGUCCAUUUCUCUCGUUUAUUUUUUUUUUUCUUGCCUUUCGAGCAAAAAUUAAAUUAGACACUCAUUAUUUUAUUUUCUGGAAAGUAAGUACUUUUUUUUUUUUUUGACUUCUAGUUGAGCAAACUUUUAUUUUUCUCAUAUAAGAAUUUACAAUUUAAUUCACCUUUUUGCCAAUUAUCUUUUGAAUAAAAAUCUGUAAAAUUAAAAAAAAAAAUGAGAAUUUAUUUUUUGAAAAUAAAAUUCAUAUUCGAUGAUACCAAAUAAAAAAAAAAAAAUUAGAAAAAAAAGUUUGCUCAUCCAAUAAUAAUUGAUCGAUAUAAAGAGUGUGCAGCUAGAAUUAGCAUAUAAUUAUUUAAUUAGAUCUCAGCUAGUUCCUAAUCUUAAGCUAAAGAUUCGGCUAUCUCGCCCGCAGAGGAAGGCUCUCAGUGAUUGUGGUGAAAAUAAUUUUUUUUUUUUCUUUUUUUUUUUUUCAAAAAUCACUUUAAACGAGAGCCCCUCAGAGCGCGUCCAGUCUAUUAUAGUAGGCGCACGGCACAUUUAUGCAGAAAUUUUGGCUUCCCUUCAACUUCAAAUGGUUAAUUUCUGAAAGAGUACUCUGUCUCGUUCACAAAUCAGGAUCAAAAUUCCGUCACGGGAUGUAUGCAAUUUUAACGAUUAAAUCGCGUUUCGAAACAAAAACAUAAAAUCUUCAAAUCUCAGAAAAUGACAAAUUCCUUAGUCUGCAAAAAAUUACUUUUAUAUUUUUUAAACUGAUUUUAAAAAUAAAUUCUACUUAAAAAAUUAUUAAAUUGAUACAAAUUUUUUUAAGAUUUCGUACAUGGUCAUAACAGUUUCCAUUGCAAUUGUUUCCAUGAUAACCGUUUCCAUAUCAACCGUUAUCAUAACAACAGUCCAUAGCAACCGUUUCCAUAGUAACCGUUACCAUAGCAACUGUUUCCAUGAUAACCGUUUCCAUAGCAACCGUUAUAAUAACAACAGUUUCCAUAGCAACCGUUAGCAUAACAACAGUUUCCAUUGCAAUUGUUUCCAUGAUAACCGUUUCAAUAGGUCCAUAGCAACAGUUUCCAUAGCAACCGUUUCCAUGAUAACCGUUUCCAUAGCAACCGUUAUCAUAACAACAGUUUCCAUAGCAACCGUUACCAUAACAACAGUUUCCAUUGCAAUUGUUUCCAUGAUAACCGUUUCAAUAGGUCCAUAGCAACAGUUUCCAUGAUAACCGUUUCCAUAGCAACCGUUAUCAUAACAACAGUUUCCAUAGCAACCGUUACCAUAACAACAGUUUCCAUUGCAAUUGUUUCCAUGAUAACCGUUUCAAUAGGUCCAUAGCAACAGUUUCCAUAGCAACCGUUUCCAUGAUAACCGUUUCCAUAGCAACCAUAACAACAGUUUCCAUAGUUCCAUGAUAACCGUUUCAAUAGGUCCAUAGCAACAGUUUCCAUGAUAACCGUUUCCAUAUCAACCGUUAUCAUAACAACACUCCAUAGCAACCGUUUCCAUAGUAACCGUUACCAUAGCAACUGUUUCCAUGAUAACCGUUUUCAUAUGGCAACCGUUUCAAUAGGUCCAUAGCAACGGUUUCCAUAGUAACCGUUACCAUAGCAAUUUUUUUACAUAACAACCUUUAUCAUAGCAACCGUUUGAAUAGGUCCAUAGCAAUAGUUUCCAUAGCAACUAAUUUUUAAUCUGAAUUUUAAAAGUCACGAAACCCUAUAGAUGAAGAAAUUAUUUUCGUUACAUAUUUUUUUUUUUUUUUUUUUUGUAAAAAAUUGAA